UAGAUCCUCAUAAUGAUAUUCAGCUGGAUACAAAUCUAAGCAAGAUAUGUGCCUUCUUGAUGAUUAUUAAUCUUGAGGUCUUGAAUUAUUUCGAGCAUCCUCCAACUGGAAACCAUCAACUGGGCUAGCAUAGCUGAGUCCUUGCGACUAAGAGCAUCCACGAGAACGUUUCCCUGAUCGAGGUGGUAAAUGAUCUUGUAGUCGUAACCCUUGAGAAGAUCCAUAUAACGUCUCU
rnacentral:lncRNA from 1 species